rnacentral:rRNA from 1 species
ACGGGAGGCAGCAGUGAGGAAUAUUGGUCAAUGGACGGGAGUCUGAACCAGCCAAGUAGCGUGAGGGAUGACGGCCAUAUGGUUGUAAACCUCUUUUGCGAGGGAAUAAAGUGCGUCACGUGUGGUGCAUUGCAUGUACCUUGCGAAUAAGGAUCGGCUAACUCCGUGCCAGCAGCCGCGGUAAUACGGAGGAUCCGAGCGUUAUCCGGAUUUAUUGGGUUUAAAGGGAGCGUAGGCGGGAAGUCAAGUCAGCUGUGAAAUGUAGUCGCUCAACGUCUGCACUGCAGUUGAAACUGGUUUUCUUGAGUGCGUAAGAGGCAGGUGGAAUUUGUCGUGUAGCGGUGAAAUGCUUAGAUAUGACGAAGAACUCCGAUUGCGAAGGCAGCCUGCUGGGCCGCAACUGACGCUGAAGCUCGAAGGUGCGGGUAUCAAACAGGAUUAGAUACCCUGGUA